rnacentral:lncRNA from 1 species
UUUAAUGGCUACAGUACCUGCAUAUUUAUUUGUAGGCGUACUGUUAGCAACAAACAGUUCAGCCAUAUACAUCUUUACUUAUAAAUAGGCCACAGUAUUUUCCAUAGGGAUCCUUCCCAGAUUGGUAUUGUAAGUGUAUUUGGCUUUUUUUUCCUCCCCUAAAUCUCUGAAACCAGCAUUUCCUUCAAUACACGAACAUGUUAAUAAUUAACAUUGGCCAACACAUUGAUUACUUUAAAAGUUAAACAUAUUCUAAAAUGAAGGGUAUUUCUUAAGGCCAAUAUUAAUUCAGUUUCCAGCUUAAGGCUUUCAAGCAGUGGAAGACCAGUUGAUCCAGGACAGUUACAAGCAUGGGGGUGCCGUCCCCAAAAGGAGUGGGGAGGAAGAUGGAAGUCUACCUUUGCUCCAUGAUUGUCGCUCUAGUUGCUGCUAAUGGCAUGGAGGGAAGGAGAAAUGUUGGUCAUGAGUCAAGAGAAGCUGAGCAUGAAGUUCAUCAUUUCAGAGGUACCAAAAGUGGUUUAAAAUGCACAGAACAAAGUGAGGCUGCUUCAAGAUGGAGGGUUCCUGCCCUAUCAUGCACAAGUGAAAGUUAUCAUGCAGCUUUUUCAAUUUUUUUCCUUAACAUAAUUUUUUUCUGUGAAGGAAAAGGGUAGAAGAAGCUGUGGGAAAACAUGAGAGGGUUGCUAAUGGAAGAUGCUGUCAUCUCCUUGCCCCACCUCCAUGAAUGAGCUAGUGCAGCUGUUCAAUAAAAAUGGUGUCUGGAAGUACUUUGGAUGUGUC